rnacentral:snRNA from 1 species
GGAUGUGAGGGUGAGCUGGCUGUGACAUCUGUCACCUCAUUGAUUGCAGGGUGGCUUUGGUUGAUGGUGGCGGGUAUCCCCUUCCUCCCUCAAUGCUCCAUGUGUGUCUCUCCCAAAGCUGGGCCUCGGUGGAAGAAGGGGAUCACUCCCGAUAGGGAGUUCCUUGGUCAAGGGUACAUGAGUAGCUCUGCUCCCCCUGAAACCUCCAAACAAGCUCUCCAGAGUAAGGGAUGAAAACAUCCAAAUGUUAGAAAGAAAGAAUAGCAGUGAAAGUAUCCUCAGAGUUUUCCUUU